rnacentral:rRNA from 1 species
GAGUUUGAUCGUGGCUCAGAUUGAACGCUGGCGGCAUGCCUUACACAUGCAAGUCGAACGGCAGCACGGGAGCUUGGCUCCUGGUGGCGAGUGGCGAACGGGUGAGUAAUGCAUCGGAACGUAUCCUGGAGUGGGGGAUAACGUAGCGAAAGUUACGCUAAUACCGCAUAUUCUGUGAGCAGGAAAGCGGGGGACCUUCGGGCCUCGCGCUCUUGGAGCGGCCGAUGUCGGAUUAGCUAGUUGGUGAGGUAAAGGCUCACCAAGGCGACGAUCCGUAGCAGGUCUGAGAGGAUGAUCUGCCACACUGGAACUGAGACACGGUCCAGACUCCUACGGGAGGCAGCAGUGGGGAAUUUUGGACAAUGGGGGCAACCCUGAUCCAGCCAUGCCGCGUGAGUGAAGAAGGCC